UCUCUGCCUUCCAUUCUCAGCUUAAAUGUCACCUCCUCCUACGGGACUUCCCUGAUGGCUUUAGCUAGCACUCUCCUCCCUCCAAGCUCAUGACACCGCAGCCCUCCAAUCGCAUGCUUCAGGCACUCCACAUGGUCUGCAGUCACAUGAUCUAUUUCUUACUUACUGUCUCGCUUAUUAUCUGUUUCCCUAGUAGAACGGAAGCUCCAUUGAGAAAACCACAUCUAUCUUGUUCACUGGCGUGUCUCCAGCACCGAGCGUAGGGCCAGGCGCAUAACAGCCCCGUACGUAUCAACAACGGGAAAGAGUAAUACACGCAAUCAAGACAGGCGAAGUAUAAAAGCCACACAGAAGAAUGUUUAACUGAAUAUUCAAAGGCCAGACGGUGUUUCAGACUUGAUAUCAGGUCCUCUUCAGAUAUCCACUCAUUGAACAAAUGCUCAUCAAGCACCACAGUAAACUCAACAGCCCCUGCUGUCACGGCGCUCAGAUUCUAGCAAAGACCAAAAGAACAGCCAAACGGACAAAAAGGAUGCCAGGUGGAGCACAAGCUCACGGGAUCUGCUGACGGAACGGAGGGCAAAUAGGAAAGAACCGAAGGAAGCAGGGCUGACACCAAAGUCCUGGGCCUGAGACCAAGACUGAGGCCGAGCAACAUGAAGACUGAGAACUGACCACUGGAAUUGGUGAUGAGGUGGGAACUGAGGGCCUCAUCAGACCCUAUUUUGAUGGACUGGAGGGGAUGAAAGCUCGACUGCAGUGGGGCUGACAAAGAAUGGGAGACUAAGGGCGCCUGGGUCGAUCAGUCAGUUGGGCCUCCAACUUCGGCUCAGGUCGUGGUCUCGCGGUUUUUGAGU